CCGAUUUGUGACUCCUGUCAGAACUCGCCACUCUGUGGACUAAAGCAAUCUCCGCCCACGCCCAUCUGAUUUGUUGGGAGUCAC